AUUGAACGCUGGCGGCAGGCUUAACACAUGCAAGUCGAGCGGGGAAGGGUAGCUUGCUACCUAACCUAGCGGCGGACGGGUGAGUAAUGCUUAGGAAUCUGCCUAUUAGUGGGGGACAACGUUUCGAAAGGAACGCUAAUACCGCAUACGCCCUACGGGGGAAAGCAGGGGAUCUUCGGACCUUGCGCUAAUAGAUGAGCCUAAGUCAGAUUAGCUAGUUGGUGGGGUAAAGGCCUACCAAGGCGACGAUCUGUAGCGGGUCUGAGAGGAUGAUCCGCCACACUGGGACUGAGACACGGCCCAGACUCCUACGGGAGGCAGCAGUGGGGAAUAUUGGACAAUGGGGGGAACCCUGAUCCAGCCAUGCCGCGUGUGUGAAGAAGGCCUUUUGGUUGUAAAGCACUUUAAGCGAGGAGGAGGCUCUUCUAGUUAAUACCUAGGAUGAGUGGACGUUACUCGCAGAAUAAGCACCGGCUAACUCUGUGCCAGCAGCCGCCGUAACAC
rnacentral:rRNA from 1 species